CGGUACAAGAAGGUGGACUUGCGUGUGGGUAUUACGUCAUGAGGUUCAUGCUCGAUAUCGUCAACUAUUGCAAAGAUGUUGGUGAUCUUCGAAAGGUUUAUGCGAAUUCCACACCACGUUUGAGGAACUUCACCAAAGAAGAAAUUGAUGAAGUUCGGGAUAAGUUGGCGUCCCACAUUACCGAUGAUUACAUAGGAUGAGAUUUAGCCCGAAUGUAAAAGUUUCUAUCAAUCCUAUGUACACUUUUUACAUUAUUAAAUAUAUAUGAAGUUAAUUAUUACCUUUCUCCA